rnacentral:rRNA from 1 species
AUGCCCGCUUCUCUAAUCUUUUGGAGAAUAGCAUUAGAAUCACCCAAUGGAGAAGAUUGUUGGGUGCUACUUGAUUUCCACUGUUUAUUUGUACUCCACCACGCAGAAGCGUGUGCUUCGCAUAGACUGUUCAGUGGACGAGUUUUGAGCCAAUAUUCCUAUCCAUCACGCAGAAGCAUGUGCUUGCGAUUGUUCAAAGUUUAA